GCUACUCGGGAGGCUGAGGCAGGAGAAUGGCGUGAACCCGGGAGCCGAGGUCGCACCACUGCACUCCAGCCUGGGCGACAGAGCGAGACUCUGUCUCAAAAAACAAAACAACAAAAAAAACGUGUCACUUUGGGGUCAAGCUCUGGAAUCUCUGGCAAAGAGCUACGUCUGAGGAUUACAACAAGGAACUCCAGGAAGAGACGGAGUCUUGCUAUGUUGCCUAGGCUGGUCCUAAAUUCCUGGGCUUCAGCAAUCCUUCCAAGAAAAGAGAGAUGGGGGGUCUCACCAUGUUGCCCACGCUGGCCUUGAACUUCUGGCCUCAAGUAAUC